AGAAUGUGAGGAGGAAGUUUAUUAGAGUGUCUCUUCAUUGAGGUAUAUUGAAAUCAAAGGCCAAGAUAUUGUUUCAGUCGUCAUUUUCAUAGAUUGACAAUUGCUUUACUCGACCACAU
rnacentral:snoRNA from 1 species